AGAACGAACGCUGGCGGCAUGCCUAACACAUGCAAGUCGAACGGGACCUUCGGGUCUAGUGGCGCACGGGUGCGUAACGCGUGGGAAUCUGCCCUUAGGUACGGAAUAACUCAGGGAAACUUGAGCUAAUACCGUAUAAUGACUUCGGUCCAAAGAUUUAUCGCCUAGGGAUGAGCCCGCGUAGGAUUAGCUUGUUGGUGAGGUAAAAGCUCACCAAGGCGACGAUCCUUAGCUGGUCUGAGAGGAUGAUCAGCCACACUGGGACUGAGACACGGCCCAGACUCCUACGGGAGGCAGCAGUGGGGAAUAUUGGACAAUGGGCGAAAGCCUGAUCCAGCAAUGCCGCGUGAGUGAUGAAGGCCUUAGGGUUGUAAAGCUCUUUACCCGGGAUGAUAAUGACAGUACCGGAGAAUAAGCUCCGGCUAACUCCGUGCCAGCAGCCGC
rnacentral:rRNA from 1 species